rnacentral:rRNA from 1 species
UCAACUUGAAUUUGGGUUUUUAACUUAGAUUUGGGUGGCGGACGGGUGAGUAACGCGUAAAGAACUUGCCUCACAGCUAGGGACAACAUUUAGAAAUGAAUGCUAAUACCUGAUAUUAUGAUUUUAAGGCAUCUUAGAAUUAUGAAAGCUAUAAGCACUGUGAGAGAGCUUUGCGUCCCAUUAGCUAGUUGGAGAGGUAACAGCUCACCAAGGCGAUGAUGGGUAGCCGGCCUGAGAGGGUGAACGGCCACAAGGGGACUGAGACACGGCCCUUACUCCUACGGGAGGCAGCAGUGGGGAAUAUUGGACAAUGGACCGAGAGUCUGAUCCAGCAAUUCUGUGUGCACGAUGAAGUUUUUCGGAAUGUAAAGUGCUUUCAGUUGGGAAGAAAAAAA